GAUGAACGCUGGCGGCGUGCCUAAUACAUGCAAGUCGAGCGAACGGACGAGAAGCUUGCUUCUCUGAUGUUAGCGGCGGACGGGUGAGUAACACGUGGAUAACCUACCUAUAAGACUGGGAUAACUUCGGGAAACCGGAGCUAAUACCGGAUAAUAUUUUGAACCGCAUGGUUCAAAAGUGAAAGACGGUCUUGCUGUCACUUAUAGAUGGAUCCGCGCUGCAUUAGCUAGUUGGUAAGGUAACGGCUUACCAAGGCAACGAUGCAUAGCCGACCUGAGAGGGUGAUCGGCCACACUGGAACUGAGACACGGUCCAGACUCCUACGGGAGGCAGCAGUAGGGAAUCUUCCGCAAUGGGCGAAAGCCUGACGGAGCAACGCCGCGUGAGUGAUGAAGGUCUUCGGAUCGUAAAACUCUGUUAUUAGGGAAGAACAUAUGUGUAAGUAACUGUGCACAUCUUGACGGUACCUAAUCAGAAAGCCACGGCUAACUACGUGCCAGCAGCCGCGGUAAUACGUAGGUGGCAAGCGUUAUCCGGAAUUAUUGGGCGUAAAGCGCGCGUAGGCGGUUUUUUAAGUCUGAUGUGAAAGCCCACGGCUCAACCGUGGAGGGUCAUUGGAAACUGGAAAACUUGAGUGCAGAAGAGGAAAGUGGAAUUCCAUGUGUAGCGGUGAAAUGCGCAGAGAUAUGGAGGAACACCAGUGGCGAAGGCGACUUUCUGGUCUGUAACUGACGCUGAUGUGCGAAAGCGUGGGGAUCAAACAGGAUUAGAUACCCUGGUAGUCCACGCCGUAAACGAUGAGUGCUAAGUGUUAGGGGGUUUCCGCCCCUUAGUGCUGCAGCUAACGCAUUAAGCACUCCGCCUGGGGAGUACGACCGCAAGGUUGAAACUCAAAGGAAUUGACGGGGACCCGCACAAGCGGUGGAGCAUGUGGUUUAAUUCGAAGCGACGCGAAGAACCUUACCAAAUCUUGACAUCCUUUGACAACUCUAGAGAUAGAGCUUUCCCCUUCGGGGGACAAAGUGACAGGUGGUGCAUGGUUGUCGUCAGCUCGUGUCGUGAGAUGUUGGGUUAAGUCCCGCAACGAGCGCAACCCUUAAGCUUAGUUGCCAUCAUUAAGUUGGGCACUCUAAGUUGACUGCCGGUGACAAACCGGAGGAAGGUGGGGAUGACGUCAAAUCAUCAUGCCCCUUAUGAUUUGGGCUACACACGUGCUACAAUGGACAAUACAAAGGGCAGCGAAACCGCGAGGUCAAGCAAAUCCCAUAAAGUUGUUCUCAGUUCGGAUUGUAGUCUGCAACUCGACUACAUGAAGCUGGAAUCGCUAGUAAUCGUAGAUCAGCAUGCUACGGUGAAUACGUUCCCGGGUCU
rnacentral:rRNA from 1 species